UACAGAGGUCUCAAGCGUUGUUCGGAUUCAUUGGGCGUAAAGGGUGCGUAGGUGGCGCCAUAAGUCGGGUGUGAAAUCUCGGAGCUUAACUCCGAAACUGCAUUCGAUACUGCCGUGCUUGAGGACUGGAGAGGAGACUGGAAUUUACGGUGUAGCGGUGAAAUGCGUAGAUAUCGUAAGGAAGACCAGUGGCGAAGGCGGGUCUCUGGACAGUUCCUGACGCUGAGGCACGAAGGUCAGGGGAGCAAACGGGG
rnacentral:rRNA from 1 species